CAGUAGCCACGGUAAUACGUAUGUCGCGAGCGUUAUCCGGAAUUAUUGGGCAUAAAGGGCAUCUAGGCGGCCUAACAAGUCAGGAGUGAAAACCUGCGGCUCAACCGCAGGCCUGCCUUUGAAACUGUAAGGCUGGAGUACCGGAGAGGUGGACGGAACUGCACGAGUAGAGGUGAAAUUCGUAGAUAUUGGAAAGAACACCGGUGGCGAAGGCGGCGACCUGGUCUUUUACUGACGCUGAGGCGCGAAAGCGUGGGGAGCAAACAGGAUUAGAGACCCCCGUAGUCCCUGUCUCUUAUAA
rnacentral:rRNA from 1 species